GAUGCUGCUGGUGCUUCUGCUGCUGGACCAAGUCAUGUGACUUACGUCCAGAUUCAACUGAACAAGUUGGACAAGAAAAAGAAAGUAAAGAGAGAUUAUCCAAAAUAAAAUCCUGUCUACUCUGAGGUGAAGACAGGGGAAGCCACAGCAGCUGGACCUGUUGAUGUGACCUAUGCUGAGGUUGACCUCCAAAAGAAGGUCAAAG